UGCUCUCGCUGCCUCACUUGUACAGACAUACACACAGUAUCGCGGCACCAAGAGCGGUCGCACACAGAACAGCGGCAGGACGGAAACUGGAAGUGUGGUUGUGCCCUUUUGAGGAGUUUUUGCUUUCCACAGGAGCUCUGGAAAAGAGACGGGACACUCAGGGCUGCAGUGACAGCAGCAUAGUAACCUGGAGGUCACAACUGCAAGGUGUGAAUAAGAAGCUCUCCGAUAAAGAUGCUGGAGAAAACUGGACAUAUGUGCGCUGCAUGUCAACACAUUCUAUGAAGCUGAAUGAAACUACUGAGCUAGGACAUGCUCUGGAAGUGCCUGUUCUCUCCACUGACUGCAAAGAGAAUGUAACAUGAAUCAUUCAGGAAGAAACUGGUGAUUGCUUUCCAAGAAAAUUUAAAAGCUGCUUUGAAAAAAUAAAAGCUACCAUAUGUGAUGAUAGUAUUAAAGAAAAACAGAACCUCAAGGACAGAUUAAGAACAUUUACUUUCCUUUCACAUAAACACACACACACACACACACACACACACUCCCAUAUACGCUCUCCAUUAAUGACUGAUGUUUACUGAAAGUCAUUUCAAUAAAUCUGUCUCCCUUCCUAUCUAAAAACUUUGAUCCUCAAAUGCAAACCCAAUUCUAGCACUGAUCAUUAAGGAAUCUGAGGCGGCUGUACCCAAGCACCUCUGCAGAAACAACUGCAGCUGUUUAAAGAUACCACUACUACUCAGCUGUUUGGUGCUGCUUCUCACCCCACCCACACAUACAUAUAUAUAUAUAUCAAUCAUAUAUAGGUCAUUUGGGAAUUCCUCAUAUGCUUCAGUGCACAGGCAGCUGGGGCGGUGUAAUCUGCUUCUGCAAUGCUUGUCUGACUGUGCUCUUGGUGAGCAGGAUCUGACUCAUUCAGCUCAAGGUUACCACAGUGGGUAACACAAGAUCUUUUGCACCACCCGUGCUGGCUCUCUACUUCAAGGCUUUUUCCCAAGGAGUUAUUUAGAGGCUCCUCUCAGAGAGUAGAAAUUCAAGCAAUUUUCUAUACUUCUUUCUCAUAGCCCUUAUUCAGCUGUAAGCAGAUUCACCACAGAAAGUUCAUGCAAACCAUUUUUAAGCUGCACUAAAGCUCGAUGGAGAGACUGACACAAACGUUAAAAAUUACAGAGAAUUGCGUUGUCAUACAAACUGAUCUGAGCAACAAUGAAACACAGUAGGAUCUGCAUGACAUAUUGGAAGGGAGAUGCUAACUCUACUCUGUCCAACAAAAGGUGCCCUAAACUGGAAACAUUUUCCCACUGCAGAUAGUGUUACAGGAAAUUUUUCUUACCUGCUGAAGGGAGAAGAAAACAGGACUGAGUAACUGAUAGCGAAGACUCUGUAGCUGGUAUCCAAGAAUCACAUGAAAACUCUUGACAGGUGAUACAGUUUGGUUAAAAAAUUCAUCCCCUUGUAAAAAAGGCAGCUCUGCAAUAAAGAGAUGAACAAAAAGUAGCAUUGCACAUGCUGUUAUUGUAGGAAUUGUUUCUCCACUGUGCACUAAUAACCUCACACACAUCACAAACAGAAGUGAAACAACUGCAAUACUCAGUUCACAUAUCUCAUAGCACAUAUCACUGAUAUAAGUAAACAUUUCUUUAAUUUUCCCUUCCCUGCUUCGUUUUCCUUAAGAGGGAACCAACGCAUUGACACCAGCUCUAAGCGCUGUGUUUAUCACCGAAGUGGAGAAGCCACUUUCCAUUAGCAUAUGCACUGCAAGCAGUUCUGCGUCCAAGAACAAAAGAAAGGUUUGCAAUAAGCUUCAUAGCCUGCAAUGAUCACCACCUUUGGAGAGAAGCUGUCCUGUAAGACCUGGAAAAGUAUUACAUGCCUCAAUUAAAAAUAAUGGAAAUUCUUGCUUUAGGGCUUCAAAUAAAGGUUGUAAUGUCUGUCUGCCUGUCCACAGCUGGUCUUGAAGUGAGAUGCUUACAAACACAAUAAACAACCCUAGAGUGGA